rnacentral:rRNA from 1 species
AGCUUCAGUAGCGUAUAUUAAAGUUGUUGCAGUUAAAAAGCUCGUAGUCGCAUUUCUGGCGAGAGGAUCCGUUCCGACCUUUUGGUGGGUUCUUGGGUAACUUUCGCCAUCCUUGAGUGGUCCGUUCUGGCAUUAGGUUGUCGGAGCGUCAGCCGCUCAUCGUUUACUUUGAGAAAAUUAGAGUGUUCAAAGCAGGCUUAUGCCGUUGAAUAUAUUAGCAUGGAAUAAUAAGAUAGGACCUCGGUACUAUUUUGUUGGUUUGCGCACCAAGGUAAUGAUGAACAGGGACAGUUGGGGGUAUUUGUAUUUCGUUGUCAGAGGUGAAAUUCUUAGAUUUACGAAAGACAAACUACUGCGAAAGCAUUUACCAAGGAUGUUUUCA